rnacentral:rRNA from 1 species
GACGAACGCUGGCGGCGUGCUUAACACAUGCAAGUCGAACGAGGUAGCAAUACCUAGUGGCGGACGGGUGAGUAACACGUGGGUAACCUGCCUUGUAGUGGGGAUACCCAUCCGAAAGGAUGGUUAAUACCGCAUACCCUUUGUCGUUGUAAUACGGCUCAGGAAAGAUUUAUCGCUAUAAGAGGGGUCCGCGCAUGAUUAGCUAGUUGGUGAGGUAAUGGCUCACCAAGGCGACGAUCAUUAGCUGGUCUGAGAGGACGAUCAGCCACACUGGAACUGAGAACGGUCCAGACUCCUACGGGUGGCAG